rnacentral:rRNA from 1 species
AUACGGAAGGUCCGGGCGUUAUCCGUAUUUAUUGGGUUUAAAGGGAGCGCAGGCGGAGAUGCAAGCGUGUCGUCAAAUUUCGGGGCUCAACCCCGUCUCGCGUCGCGAACUGCGUCACUUGUGUGCGGGGAGGGGAGUCGGAACACGUGGUGGAGCGGGGAAAUGCAUAGAUAUCACGAAGAACUCCGAUCGCGAAGGCAGCCUUCCGGCCCGUCAACGACGCUCAUGCUCGAAGGUGCGGGUAUCAAACAGGAUUAGAUACACUGGUAGUCCGCACAGUAAACGAUGGACACCCGCGGUUUGGCCUAUAUGGCUGAGCCGCCAAGCGAAAGCGUUAAGUGUCCCACCUGGGGAGUACGCCGGCAACGGUGAAACUCAAAUGAAUUGACGGGG